rnacentral:lncRNA from 1 species
UGUGGAGGCGCCAUCACAGCCACCUCACCCACCACCCCACACCGCCGAGUUUAAGGAGGGGCUGAGUUUAAGGAGGGGCGCCAUGGGUUGUCCGCUACCAUGGUAACUAUGAAGAAGGAGAUUUUCAGAAGGAACAUGUUGCAGAGCUGCCAUUGAAGAUUGAACGAACAUCAGAAGUUCAGAACUCGACGGCGACAAUCAGAAGUUCAGAACUCGACACGGCGACGCUGUUGUGCUGCUGGCGUUAAUGGCUCCUAAACAAGCAUCCGGCUGGCAAAAAAUCAAAAAAGGAAACGAGCAGAAGAAUUGGUGAAGUCUCAAGCCGGUGCUAUACAAAAGUUUUUGGCGCCUAAUCCACCUAUAGUUAAUGUUUAAAAUCAACAAGAAGAUGUUGAAGUAGAAGUAGAAUGGGAACAAGCAUGUGUGGAAGUAGAUCACGAGGAAGAACGUGUGGAAGUAGAUGACGAGGAAGAACGUGUGGAAGUAGAAGACGUUGAAAAGCAAUAAGAAAAUGUUGAAAACCAACAAGAGCAAGAACGUGUGGAUAUAUUUGAUCCAAGGUGGGAAGGACUUAAUGCGUAUGAGCUUAAGGUAUUGGUCGCGAAAGGUCCUAAAAGAGAUACUAGUAUAGAAUUUGGUCCACUUAAUCAAUAUAAUAGACGAUUUUCGGCAACUAUUUAUACAAGAACAUUAUCAAAUUUGGAGAAGUGUGACAGAGAAUGGCUAGUAUAUUCAAAAGCGCUAGAUAAGAUGUUUUGUUUUUGUUGUAAAGUGUUUAGAACUGGGGCUCUUAAAGGUAGAUUGGAAAGUGAAGGUUUCAAUGAUUGGCACCAUGUUGCGGGUGGAGUGAAAGCACAUGAAGUUACGUUAGAUCAUCUCACACAUAUGAAAAUAUAGUUUGAUAUGCGUAAAGAUUGAGAGAGAACCAAUCAUUUUUCGAGCUCGAACAGGGUGCGUGAAUUCUCAGAGACCCCACUGGCGAGACUCGUAAAUAAAGGAUCAUGUAUUAGGGAGAUGCGUAAAUAAUAAACGAUCAUGUUAUUCAUACACGCAUGUAGUUCAUUCAUACAUUAUUUUUUAAUCUAUUUCUUUCUAUACACAGAGAGAAGGAUAUGCGAAUAUUAACACCCUAAUAAAUUGAACGUUCAGUUAAGUUUGAUAGAAAGUUUGUUUGUGAUCAUUUAUUUAAUAAAUAAUUGAUCAUGAAUGAUUUUUU